CUCCAGCUUUGGUACAGGGAACCACUGAACCCAUGUGCUGCCCAUGUCUGUGUACUUUACAGACUAAGGCAGAGUUAGCCCCUCCAGGCUUUCCCAAAAGAGGGCAGAAAGGUCUAGACGCAGAAAGCAUCGGUCAUAACAAGCCAAACUCUGAUCUUUUUGGCUUGCCUUUCCAUCCACCUAGCUACCCUGUUUGCCUUGGAAAAAAAUAAGGAACAACGUGUUUUCAUCAAAGAUUUUGUGUGGUGCAUUGAAGCCCAGAGGCAACAAGAAUGCUGGACUCAUCCUGAGAAGAAUGAAUUCUACACACCAGGAGGCACAGACAGGACUCGUUCUGCUUGUCUCAGGUUAGAGUACCUGGGUGGAGGAAACUCAAUUGCAAAGCUACCUCUAUCAGAUUGCCUGUAGGAACUGCAACUCUCUCCCUGAGCUUCCUUUGUUUCCGGGUUCCUGCUCCCUGCAAUCAAGGUGGCCGUUUAUCUCCUCAAAUACCAAAGCCGUCCUCCACGGCUGAGAUGUGAAACUUUUGAGGCCAACAACUUGAUCCUGCAUGUUCAGCAAGUGUCUGUCAAGCACCUUCAGAAUCCUGAGAGCUGAGGGAGGACCAGCUGGCCCUGUCUGAGGAUAAAUGGAUGAGUAACUGAGGUUGGAGCAGUGUGGCAGGGCUGUGAGAAACUCCCCAGGAGCUACUUUCAUGAAGAGGAAGGACAAGAAGCUUUUAGAGAAUUUAGAAUCUAGGGGCAGAGACCUGUCCCAGAUUUCUAUGUUGUCCUCUUGAUGGUGGGCCCAGGGAGAGUUCCAUACUCACAGGGCAGCUGAUACCCCGACAUUUAUUAGAACCCUCUGUGGAAUUGGCAAUAACCUACUCACUCUGGUUAUAGAGAUUUUCUGGUGUGUGACUUAUACAAACAAACCUGAUUUGUGCUACUGACCAGAGUUGCCCUCUGUCCCCUGUGCCUUCUGCCCUGGCGUCUGAGAAAAGUAGAGAGUCCGAAGUCUGAUGGGUAUUGCAACAGGCAUGGCAGGGGGCAGGGCGACAUCUACGUAAGCACUGGGAGCAGCACAGCUGCAAAAACAUCUUCUACAGGAGGACCUAAUUGAGGACUGCCUGAGAGACCAAGGAUUGCUGGUUAGAAGAGAUGCAUUCUUGGGACCAAUGGGGCUCUGGUGGAGGGUAUUAAAGGCGCUUACAACAGUGUUCAGGCAAGCUUGCUGUAGCUUUUCUCACCUGCUCCCAGAGUCUGUGUCCUUGACUCCACACCACCUCACCUCCAACCCCCAAGGACAGGCAGGGACAGACAUGGAAUAGUCCAGCACACAGACAUCAUUGUAUGUCAAACCCAGAAAACAGUAAGAGGUGACAAGGGGCCUGUCUCACAAAGCUCGACAGUUGCCUUAUCAUUUAGCUAAUUAACUUUAAAAUAAAAAGUCUAAAGUCUCAGUGGUGUUGGAGAGGCCAAUCGAUGCCUCUGAGUAUGGACGGCAGAGAGAAGACCAUGGCCAGGGCUGGGCUAUGGUAACAUCGCCCAAGGAUGGCUGAGCAGUCUUCAGCUAAUCAUGACUAUUAAGCUCCUUCCCUGGGAGUUGUUUUUGAUUCCUGUGGAAUAGAUUAAGACUCUGUUUUGAAUCCCCUGGGGUUUCCUGUGGAGCAUAAUUAUAGCUGCACUGGAAUCAGAAUUCAGGUCAACAAUUACUUUAAUGAGAUGUCUGAAGAGCAUGGCCAGUGAGGGGGAGGCCCCAAGGGAGAGGGAGGGAGAAAGGGAGGAAGGGAGGAAGGGAGGGAACUAGUGGGAAGAGGGGGUAAGGAGGGAAGGUUUUAUGAAAAGGUG